rnacentral:rRNA from 1 species
UGGGGAAUUUUGCACAAUGGGGGAAACCCUGAUGCAGCGACGCCGCGUGAUUUAGAAGGCCUUCGGGUUGUAAAAAUCUUUUCUAUGGGAAGAAAAUGACAGUACCAUAGGAAUAAGGACCGGCUAAUUACGUGCCAGCAGCCGCGGUAAUACGUAAGGUCCGAGCGUUGUCCGGAAUCAUUGGGCGUAAAGCGAGCGCAGGCGGUCAAUUAAGUCUGAUGUGAAAGCCCCCGGCUCAACCGGGGAGGGUCAUUGGAAACUGGUUGACUUGAGUGCUGAAGAGGAGAGUGGAAUUCCAUGUGUAGCGGUGAAAUGCGUAGAUAUAUGGAGGAACACCAGUGGCGAAGGCGACUCUCUGGUCUGUAACUGACGCUGAGGCUCGAAAGCGUGGGUAGCAAACAGG